rnacentral:pre_miRNA from 11 species
GACCGCACGGGAUAAUCUAUUAUCCCGUGCGGUUGCGUUAUACCAACCGCACGGGAUAAUAUAUUAUCCCGUGCGGCC